rnacentral:lncRNA from 1 species
GGGAGAAGACAUCUUACUCUUAUUGGAUCAUGCACAGUGCCUGAAGCAUUCUGUUGCAUGUAGAAGUCAGUAAAUUGCAGAUGUAAGAUUCAAAACCAGACUUCACAUCUACCGACUUCAGUGACCCUGAAAUUUGUUCACAGAGAGCAUUUAACAUAACUGUCUUCAUCAUCUCCUUCUCUACAUUAAAAAUUAUGAUUAUCACAAGCAGAUGGAAUCCCUAUAGAGUCGGAUCUCAUCUACAUAUCACCUAUUAUAUGUAGUUAUUGAUGGAUAAAUACUUCAACAACUAAAGGCAGAAAGAGAGCAGUUCACAAAGACGUUAUUGGUGAUUCAAUCUUGAGUCAUGAAAAGUCAACCUUGAGCCACAAAAAGUCAACCUUGAGCCAAGCAGAUUGGAGAGUCAUACAUGCCAUUCCUGGGACCAUCAAAAAUGGCAGAGGUCACACAAAAAGGCAAAACUUUUAAGAGGUGUUUUAAACGUCGUAUGGGCCAAAGAGAAGCUGGAUUUCCUAUUGGAGUCACCUGUAACACACGUGUGACGAAAUUGGCCUGUGAGGACAAGGCAGUGAGCAGAGAGGACAGCAGUCCUUAUGAGAUCAAGCUCUAAGGUAUCCUAGACACAUUUGGAGAAUUCACCUGAGCUACAGGAUGUGAAAAGUUGCUAAAACUGCUGUGAGAUUCUGGCUAAGAAAGUUUCAUGAGAAGUUUUACAGAAAAAUGUGAACGGAAGACAGAACUAGAUAUAAAUUUGAAUGGUAAUCUAAAUAAAAGACAUUUUUCAUGUUUUGAGAAGAAUGCGAAGAAGAAAGGAAGAGUGAGCCUCUCUUUCCCAUCGUUACCCUCCAUUGUCCUCUUGACACCCUGCUUUCACAGAGAAAGAGUUUGAGACCCUCUCCCAGGAGCCAAGGAGAGGGGAACAGCUGGCUUCACAUCAUCUUUCUAUUCAACAAGAUACAAAAAGCUGAAGCCAGGAUGAUAGAAAAGCAACAAAGAAGACACGGUCCUUACUCAUUUCCCUUCCCACUUCAGAGCAAAGAUGGUGCCUGGUGUUCGAAGGGAGAACUUGUGGGCAGAGCAGGAAGCGUGAGUAUGGUUGAAGGAUCAAAUAUUUGGUUCAGGCAUCAGGGAGCCAGCAAGACUAUGAUGCUGGGAAACACAAGUGAUGUACUGUUGGAUUUAAUCUACUUGGAAAAAACCUAGGAAAACCAAAAUGUCAUCAACUAACACCUGAAAUGCCUCAGCACCAUCUGUCUCCAACAUUAAACAAAACCCACGAGAUUCCAGGAGAAAGAAAAU